rnacentral:rRNA from 1 species
CAGACCUCUGAUCAGGAAAGACUACCCGCUGAGUUUAAGCAUAU